rnacentral:rRNA from 1 species
UACGUAGGGUGCGAGCGUUAAUCGGAAUUACUGGGCGUAAAGCGUGCGCAGGCGGUUCGUUGUGUCGGCGGUGAAAGCCCCGGGCUCAACCUGGGAAUGGCCGUUGAAACUGGCGAACUGGAGUGUGGCAGAGGGGGGUGGAAUUCCGCGUGUAGCAGUGAAAUGCGUAGAGAUGCGGAGGAACACCGAUGGCGAAGGCAGCCUCCUGGGCUGACACUGACGCUCAGGCACGAAAGCGUGGGGAGCAAACAGG